GUGCAGCAGUCGCGAAAACUCCGCAAUGCACGAAAGUGUGACGGGGCUACCCCUAGUGCCGUCCGCUGAGGGCGGCUUUUCCCUGGUGUAAGGAGCCGGGGGAAUAAGGAGAGGGCAAGUCUGGUGUCAGCCGCCGCGGUAAUACCAGCUCUCCGAGUGGUAGGGAUGUUUAUUGGGCUUGAAGCGUCCGUAGCUGGCCUGACAAGUCUUCCGUUAAAUCCAACGAUUCAAUCGUUGGACUGCGGGAGAUACUGUUGGGCUAGGGGGCGGAAGAGGCCGACGGUAUUCUCGGGGUAGGGGUAAAAUCCUAUAAUACCGGGAAGACCACCAGUGGCGAAGGCGGUCGGCUAGAACGCGCUCGACGGUGAGGGACGAAAGCUGGGGGAGCGAACCGGAUUAGAUACCCGGGUAGUCC
rnacentral:rRNA from 1 species